AGCGAACGCUGGCGGCAGGCCUAACACAUGCAAGUCGAACGAACCUUUCGGGGUUAGUGGCGGACGGGUGUGUAACACGUGGGAACGUGCCUUUAGGUUCGGCAUAACUCAGGGAAACUUGUGCUAAUACCGAAUGUGCCCUUCGGGGGAAAGAUUUAUCGCCUCUCGUGCGGCCCUCGUCUGAUUCGCUAGUUGGUUGAGGUAAUGGCUCACCAAGGCGACGAUCAGUAGCUGGUCUGAGAGGAUGAUCAGCCACAUUGGGACUGAGACACGGCCCAAACUCCUACGGGAGGCAGCAGUGGGGAAUCUUGCGAAAUGGGCGAAAGCCUGACGCAGCCAUGCCGCGUGAAUGAUGAAGGUCUUAGGAUAGUAAAAUUCUUUCACCGGGGACGAUAAUGACGGUACCCGGAGAAGAAGCCCCGGCUAACUUCGUG
rnacentral:rRNA from 1 species